GAUGAACGCUGGCGGCGUGCCUAAUACAUGCGAGUCGAGCGAACAGACGAGGAGCUUGCUCCUCUGACGUUAGCGGCGGACGGGUGAGUAACACGUGGAUAACCUACCUAUAAGACUGGGAUAACUUCGGGAAACCGGAGCUAAUACCGGAUAAUAUAUUGAACCGCAUGGUUCAAUAGUGAAAGACGGUUUUGCUGUCACUUAUAGAUGGAUCCGCGCCGCAUUAGCUAGUUGGUAAGGUAACGGCUUACCAAGGCAACGAUGCGUAGCCGACCUGAGAGGGUGAUCGGCCACACUGGAACUGAGACACGGUCCAGACUCCUACGGGAGGCAGCAGUAGGGAAUCUUCCGCAAUGGGCGAAAGCCUGACGGAGCAACGCCGCGUGAGUGAUGAAGGUCUUCGGAUCGUAAAACUCUGUUAUUAGGGAAGAACAAAUGUGUAAGUAACUAUGCACGUCUUAACGGUACCUAAUCAGAAAGCCACGGCUAACUACGUG
rnacentral:rRNA from 1 species